rnacentral:rRNA from 1 species
UACGUAGGGGGCAAGCGUUGUCCGGAUUUAUUGGGUGUAAAGAGCGUGUAGGCGGUUUGGUAGGUCCGCUGUGAAAACUCGAGGCUCAACCUCGAGACGCCGGUGGAAACCAUCAGACUAGAGUCCGGAAGAGGAGAGUGGAAUUCCUGGUGUAGCGGUGAAAUGCGCAGAUAUCAGGAAGAACACCCGUGGCUAAGGCGGCUCUCUAGUACGGUACUGACGCUGAGACGCGAAAGCGUGGGGAGCGAACAGG